AGGGGGGGAGGAUGUUAUAUCCCGUAUUUUAUACGUUCGGAUAUUCCAAGGCAGUCGUAACGAAGUUAAGGGAAUGACCAUCUUCCAAAUGUAUUUCAAUGAACAAGUGGGUUAUAAAUAUUAUUCACAACAUUAGUAUUAUGGAAAUAUUAAGAAAGGUUGAGGGCGAAAAAGGAAAUUCGCAAAAUAGAACCAUGGUGAUAUUAUGGAAGGCUAGGGGUAAAAUGGUAAUUUCACAAAGUUCAAGAAAAUUCUAGAAAAAAUAAAAAUAAAUAAAUAAAUAAGUAAGUAAGUAAAGAAAGGAGCAUGUGGUCAUUUUAUAUGUGAAGGGGGCAAAGUGUAAAUAUAGAUGGACUAAAGUGUAUGAAAGAAGACACUUGGUCUUCUUUGACCAAGUGAGGAAAAAUCAAGAAAAGAAAAGAAACAUCAAGAAAAAGGGAGAGAAUUCUAGAAAAGAAAGAAAUGGGGCAUGUGACCAUAAUUGGGGGACUAAAUUGCAAAUAUGGAUAAGUGAUGGAAGACCUAUAUAUAUAUAUACAUAAGAGGUCUUCAUAAUUAAAUUAGAGAGAAAGAAAGAACAACAAAAAAAAAAGGGGAAAGAAAGAGAGAGGGUUCGGCCAAGGUAUGGCCAAGCAUGGCCAUGGGAGAUUUGAUCAAGAAAAAUUAUUUCUUUCAAGCUUUUAUACUAAGUGGAAGGUUCUCUACAACGUGGAGUAUUCGUUGGAACAAGUGAAUCAUUCGUUUCGCAAAAAUGAGGUUCUAGCCGGGAAAAGGAACUAGUGCUAAGAUUAACAAGUUGGACGAAUAAGCGUAGCUAGUAAGGCGCGGCGCAGGUACACCCAGAUGAGUUGAGGCCCUUAUAGAAGAUGUUCCAGCGAAGUUGGCGAGCUCCAGUUAGCCCGGGAGUGUAGCCGAGUCAGUGUAUAUGUGCCAUGGUUUCCGAUUGCAGUUAGAGACUUUGCAGACAGGGUCGUGGGAAUAGAGCGUCAGCUUUGUAGACGGCUUCGCCUGUCAAUAUGUUAUUACGUUUCAUGUCACGCGUUCCAUAUGAUGAUACACUCUCCAAAAAAAAAAAAAAAUUGAGAGCUUACUAUGCAUUUUACUCUGAAUUGAUUCCAGAGUUUAUUUAUGUAAUAAGAGUCAGCGGGUUCGCUCGGCUCCAGAUAUGGGGUCGGGUGCCCAUCACACCCUAGUAAGGUCGGGGUGUGACACUUUUGAAAUGCUCGCAGAUGCUUUUAUCAAAGCACAUGCUGGAGCAAAGAAGGUGUCAGCGAGAAAAGCGGAUAUCUUGAAGAUUGCUCAAGGCGAUGCGGAGUUGCUCCGUGAAUUUGCUAUAAGGUUCCAGAAUGA